rnacentral:rRNA from 1 species
GAACGCUAGCGACAGGCUUAACACAUGGCAAGUCGAGGGGCAUCACGGUGUAGCAAUACACGUGGUGGCGACCGGCGCACGGGUGAGUAACGCGUAUCCAACCUGCCCUUCAUAUUGGGAUAGCCUUCCGAAAGGGAGAUUAAUACCGAAUAACAUGAGAAGAUUGCAUGAACCUCUCAUGAAAGCUCCGGCGAUGAAGGAUGGGGAUGCGUUCCAUUAGGUAGUAGGCGGGGUAACGGCCCACCUAGCCGACGAUGGAUAGGGGUUCUGAGAGGAAGGUCCCCCACACUGGAACUGAGACACGGUCCAGACUCCUACGGGAGGCAGCAGUGAGGAAUAUUGGUCAAUGGGCGGAAGCCUGAACCAGCCAAGUAGCGUGAAGGAUUACAGCCCUACGGGUUUUAAACUUCUUUUAUAUAAGAGUAAUGUGCACUACGUGUAGUGUAUUGCAAGUAUUAUAUGAAUAAGCAUCGGCUAACUCCGUG